AUACAAUGAAGAGUUUGAUCCUGGCUCAGGAUGAACGCUAGCGGCAGGCCUAACACAUGCAAGUCGAGGGGCAGCGGGGAAAAGCUUGCUUUUCCGCCGGCGACCGGCGCACGGGUGCGGAACGCGUAUGGAACCUGCCCCUGUCAGGGGAAUAGCCCAGGGAAACUUGGAUUAAUGCCCCAUGGUAUCGUUAUAUCGCAUGAUAUGACGAUUAAAGAUUUAUCGGACAGGGAUGGCCAUGCGUACCAUUAGUUAGAUGGUGAGGUAACGGCUCACCAUGGCAGCGAUGGUUAGGGGCCCUGAGAGGGGGAUCCCCCACACUGGUACUGAGACACGGACCAGACUCCUACGGGAGGCAGCAGUGAGGAAUAUUGGACAAUGGUCGGGAGACUGAUCCAGCCAUGCCGCGUGCAGGAUGACUGCCCUAUGGGUUGUAAACUGCUUUUAUACGGGAAGAA
rnacentral:rRNA from 1 species